GACGAACGCUGGCGGCGGGCUUAACACAUGCAAGUCGAACGGAAAGGCCCUGCUUUUUUGCUGUUCUCGAUUGGCGAACGGGUGAGUAACACGUGAGUAACCUGCCCUUGACUUUGGUAUAACUUCAGGUAACUGGGGCUAAUACCGUAUAGGAGCUCCUGCUGCAUUGUGGGGGUGGGAAAUUUUCGGCGGUUGGGGAUGGACUCGCGGCUUAUCGGCUUGUUGGUUGGGUAGUGGCUUACCAAGGCUUUGAAGGGUAGCCGGCCUGAGAGGGUGACCGGCCACCUUGGGACUGAGAUACGGCCCAGACUGCUACGGGAGACAGCAGUGGGGAAUCUUGCCCAAUCGGAGGACGCCUGAUGCAGAAACGCCGCGUGCGGGAUGACGGCCUUCGGGUUGUAAACAGCUUUCGCUUGUGACGAAGCGUGAGUGACGGUAAUGGGUAAAGAAGCACCGGCUAACUACGUG
rnacentral:rRNA from 1 species